UACGUAGGGGCGAGCGUUGUCCGGAAUGACUGGGCGUAAAGGGCGUGUAGGCGGCCGAUUAAGUCCGGAGUGAAAGUCCUGCUUUCAAGGUGGGAAUUGCUUUGGAAACUGGUAGGCUUGAGUGCGGAAGAGGUAAGUGGAAUUCCCAGUGUAGCGGUGAAAUGCGUAGAGAUUGGGAGGAACACCAGUGGCGAAGGCGACUCACUGGGCCGUAACUGACGCUGAGGCGCGAAAGCGUGGGGAGCGAACAGGAUUAGAUACCCGGGUAGUCCCUGAGCGGGCU
rnacentral:rRNA from 1 species